rnacentral:misc_RNA from 1 species
AUUCUUAAUAAAGACAGAGUC